UGUGGAUCUCCUCUUCAGGAGUCUAGAGGACAAAUUUCAUAAACGUCAGUUUCCUUGUCGGAGAAAUGUGGUAGCCGGAUUACAGGAACUAGUUUGUCAAGUGAGUGUAAGCAGCAUUCCAACUUUAAAAUUAUUAAACACUAGGUAAUUUUUCUUUAGGUUCGAUUCUAUGAGAGAUGUCAUGGCUUAGUAUUCCUUAAUUCUGGAUUGUUCCUGCGCCUUUGGACUGAAUGUGACACACGCUUCAUCUGUACAGCUGGUGUGUGUGUGUCCUGAUGCGUGUGUGCCAGGUUUAAGUUUAAAUGUCUGCAGUCUCAGGCCUUCGGUUCACCCAAAAGAAACGGAUGGCCGGCCUAGGAGCAAUCUGGCGAACUGGUGUUGCCUUGGAGACCCAGACUACCUGGGAGUAAUCCUGAUGGCCCCCAUCCAAGGUCGGUGUGGGAGGGGCUACGAGGAAAGGUCAGGACUCCACAGAGAAGGAAUGGAGGUUAAGAACAGGGGUCAGGAAGAUAUGUAUGCCUUUUGAUAUUAAGUAAAUAAGUGCAUUUAAAAUACACAACCAGGAUCUCUGACACUUACAGUAACAAGAGACUGGCUUAUCUUCCCCACUCAAUUUUGUUGGAUUUUAUUUUUUAUUUUUUUAAUAGAGUUUCUCUGAUGGUAUUCUUGAAACUAGUCCAGGAGGCCUCCUCACUUGCUAAAAUACAAAAACUACUUCUGCUCCUCUUCUCACAUCUAAAUCAGACCCUGACAUACCCAGCCACUCAGUGUGCCUUUUAGUUAAUUUUGUCUCCUUUAGCAAUGGUUUCCUUUUGCUUUAAAAGAAAAUUCUGCUGUUAACAAAUAUGCUGUACAAGCCAUGGGGGCGAAAGAACUUGGAGGAAGAGGAAGAACAUGUGUUUUCCUUAAUUCCUUCUCAAAAUAUGUGAGGGGAGAAAAUAAGGGAAGUUGAGAAAUAUGCCACUCAAUGCAGAAGUCACUUUGGACAAAUCUCUUGAAACCAAGGCCUAAAGGAACAACCACCACAGUAACAAAUAGUGGGUGUAAUUACAAAUGAGGACAUUCAGUGAAUCUCUAAAGCAGAUCCUACAGAGGUAUAGUCCACCAAAACCCACGCAAAAGAAGAAAGAAAGUAAAGGCAGAGCUGGAACCCCAGGAGAGAGGAGGAAAAGCAAAAGGUGAGAAUGGAGAAAGGAGAAGGCUGGGGAAGCAGGAAGGAGUAUAAAGUAUGAGAAGCUGGGUGCAGGGCGGCCCAUGAUGAACACCUGACGUUCAUAAUUAAAGUGUAAGAAAUACAUGUCUUUGGAAAGAGCAGACAAAAGCGAGUAGAACUUAGAGGUUCUCACCAAAAGGCACAUGUGGGAGAAAUGCAGGCAGCACAGAAGUGCAUGGGGUGAAAGGUGAGAGUUCCUACCCCCACCCCACCCUCGCAAAGGCACACCACGGAUGGCAGUGGGCAGUGGGCAGGGUGCAGGGGCCAGGGCAGGCGGGAGGCCCUGAGCACCGAAGGCAAGCGGCCAGGCUCUGACCUGCUGAAGCCCAGCCCGGGAUACUUGUGGUUUGACAAACGCUGUCAGCUGACGGUUUAACAGCAAGUGCUUCAACAGGCUUCCUGCCCCUGAAAAUCCUCACCUAAUUCUCAGCAAAUGUGAGUCUUAUUACCAAACAACAGCAAAAAACCACCACCUCCGGAUUUUAUUCAAUCAUCGAAAACAUAACCGUUGUUUUUUUUUUUUUUUUAAACGUGUGUUGGGAAUGUUGAGAAUGUAUCUGUAGCAAUUUUGCACAUAGCACAUUAAGCUUUGUUUGUGGAACAAACU
rnacentral:lncRNA from 1 species